GAUUGAACGCUGGCGGCAGGCCUAACACAUGCAAGUCGAACGGUAACAGGAAGAAGCUUGCUUCUUUGCUGACGAGUGGCGGACGGGUGAGUAAUGUCUGGGAAACUGCCUGAUGGAGGGGGAUAACUACUGGAAACGGUAGCUAAUACCGCAUAACGUCGCAAGACCAAAGAGGGGGACCCUCGGGCCUCUUGCCAUCGGAUGUGCCCAGAUGGGAUUAGCUUGUUGGUGGGGUAACGGCUCACCAAGGCGACGAUCCCUAGCUGGUCUGAGAGGAUGACCAGCCACACUGGAACUGAGACACGGUCCAGACUCCUACGGGAGGCAGCAGUGGGGAAUAUUGCACGAUGGGCGCAAGCCUGAUGCAGCCAUGCCGCGUGUAUGAAGAAGGCCUUCGGGUUGUAAAGUACUUUCAGCGGGGAGGAAGGGAGUAAAGUUAAUACCUUUGCUCAUUGACGUUACCCGCAGAAGAAGCACCGGCUA
rnacentral:rRNA from 1 species